GCCAGCGGUGCGGCAGCACGUUGAAUGCACCAGUCCCCAAUGGAUCACGAAGUUAAGCAACGUUGUGCGUGGUUGGUAAUCAUAUGGGUGACCAUCUGGGUAAUCGCGUGCUGUUGACU
rfam:Asian citrus Psyllid, Diaphorina citri - Florida Strain, whole genome shotgun sequence.